GACGAACGCUGGCGGCGUGCCUAAUACAUGCAAGUAGAACGCACAGUUUAUACCGUAGCUUGCUACACCAUAGACUGUGAGUUGCGAACGGGUGAGUAACGCGUAGGUAACCUGCCUGGUAGCGGGGGAUAACUAUUGGAAACGAUAGCUAAUACCGCAUAAUAUUGAUUAUUGCAUGAUAAUUGAUUGAAAGAUGCUAUUGCAUCACUACCAGAUGGACCUGCGUUGUAUUAGCUAGUAGGUGAGGUAACGGCUCACCUAGGCGACGAUACAUAGCCGACCUGGGAGGGUGAUCGGCCACACUGGGACUGAGACACGGCCCAGACUCCUACGGGAGGCAGCAGUAGGGAAUCUUCGGCAAUGGACGAAAGUCUGACCGAGCAACGCCGCGUGAGUGAAGAAGGUUUUCGGAUCGUAAAGCUCUGUUGUAAGAGAAGAACGGGUGUGAGAGUGGAAAGUUCACACUGUGACGGUAUCUUACCAGAAAGAGACGGCUAACUACGUG
rnacentral:rRNA from 1 species